rnacentral:rRNA from 1 species
UACGGGGGGAGCAAGCGUUGUUCGGAUUUACUGGGCGUAAAGGGCGCGUAGGCGGUCGUGACAAGUCACUUGUGAAAUCUCCGGGCUUAACUCGGAACGGUCAAGUGAUACUGUCGGACUAGAGUACAGAAGGGGCAACUGGGAUUCUCGGUGUAGCGGUGAAAUGCGUAGAUAUGCGGAGGAACACCGAUGGCGAAGGCAAUCCCCUGGACCUGUACUGACGCUCAUGCACGAAAGCGUGGGGAGCAAACAGG